CAUACAUCCCUUUGACUCUGUUGUCUGCCACCAUCUUAUUACCCACAAAUCAGACUCAAGGUAUAUUCUGAUGACUUCUAGCAAUGCAAGACAUUUCAUUUACAAUAGUCAGAUUUAAAGAGGACUUUAAAAAUUUGGUCAGGUAGGCUUAGUUUCUAAGAAUUAUUAUGAUAAUAGCAAUUCUAUAUUUAUCAAAUAUUUGUUCAAGUUUAGUCAUUAGCUUAAUGUGUGUGUUCAUGUGUAUGUCACAUGCAUGUGAGUGUGAUGAUACAUAGAGCUGUAUUAUGCAUAAUUUAAAGCUUUAUUAUUGUCUAGUUAAGAAGGUAGUCAUCAUUCAGAAAAAUGGUUUCCCAGUUGUGAAGCAGCAUGUUAAACUUAACUGAAAAAUUGAGACAAAAGAAGAGUUUGGUUCUUUCAAGGGUCUGGCAUGCAGCUAAACUGCACCCGUGACCAAUUAAAACAGAGUAUCUGGGGUGGGACCCAUGCAUUGGUAUUUUUUAUUUUAUUUUAUAGGUAAUUUUAAUGUGAGCAAAGAUUAGGAACCUCUGAGCUAGAGGAAAGUCUGAGUGAGGGGGAGCCAGGAGCAAAUGAGGGAAAGUAACUGUGGAAGAUGGUUAAGGACCUGGAGCAGACAGAGAUGAAGGGAAGCUAAGCUGAGAACUGUAAGUGACAGAGGAAUCACUCAAGCUGGGGAAAAUUAAGUGGCCUUAUAGUUAAAGGUGGAAGAGCAGAAGGGGUGUCAACUGUAAGCACUAUUAACAUCUACAUUCUAAAGAGCUGCAGAACGUAAACUAGAGCAGAAGCAAUUCAAGCAGUCCAAGGGAGUCAUAAGGUGAGAGUAAGAUAAAUUGGUAAAUACUUAAAGGAAUAGAGGAUUGUAGAGUGCUUUGGCAAUAGAAAGUUAUGUACAGUUUUUGUUCCAUUUAAAUGUUUGUAGAAACUGGGCUCUGUAAGUGGAAUGUGAAGCAAUUUAUUAUCUAAGCAUUUUAUAUACAAAAGCAUAGUUUGAAUAUAUCCAAUGACCUGCCUUGCUUCUCUUGCUACUCAUACCCCAAGGGACAAAAGUUCUGUCUGAACUCUUACUAAUCCCUCACCAGUAACUAGAUAAUGAGCCAUCUACCUCACAACCCUCCUCUCCUACCACUCCACCAGAGCUGAAGGGCUGCUUGAGUGCUGAGAUGACCAGGACAUUACACCAUGGCAGCAGUUUAUAAAGAAAACAAAUUCUCAGCAAGAAUAUCAUAUCACUCAAACUUGAGGUGAAAUUUUGAGAUACUACCAUUAAUCUGAUCAAAAACAGAAAGACAAAAAGAAGGAUAUCCCAAAAGCAUCUUUCCUUUCCUUUUCUCUUUCUUACCUGACAUUAGGGAAAAUGAAAAAAAUGGAAGAGAAAUGAAUAAUAACCACCUAGAAACAAACACGUCAUAUUUCCUAUGUUUUGUAACUUGCUUUUUUCCCCCUUAACAUAUAUAAGCACUUUCUUAGCACAUGAACAUAGCUUCAUGAACAUUUGUUUUUCUAACCACUCUGCUAUUACUUGACAUCUUUCCAGAUGAAGUUACUGUUUUCACUAGUGAUGGGGGCACAGGUAGGAGUUACAGAACAUAAAUAGAAAUGCACAUUGUUUGUGUGAGUCCCAUAAAGUGCCUCCCCUAGACAGAGGGCAGAGAAGGGGACCUGCAUCUUUGGGCAAGCUUGUGACGAUCAGCUGCUUGUUGACUUCCUCAGCUCCCUGGAGUUGAGAGCAACAAACAUAACUGUGAGCAUAUUCAAAAGAGAUUUCUCCACAACUGUAAAUGGUUCACUCUGAGACAGCACUGUCUAAAUGGAAGAAGACAGCUGGCUGACUGGAAGAACCAAGCAGACCCAGCCCACCUGGGGUAGGACUCAUGAGAGACCAGGGAAGACUUCCACAGAUGUAAAAAAGGGGCUGGAAUGUCAGAAUACAUUUUGUUUUUUCCUUCAUGCUUCCCAGGCUCCUAACCAGCCACUUUCUUUUCACUCUUCCACCCUCUCUCCUUUUUCAUUUGGAAGUUCCUUCUCUCUCCCCCUUCCCUCUAUUUCUCUCUCUCCUCUCUCUCCAUCCCAUUCUUUCUCUCCCUCCUUUUUCUUUAAGCCACCAUCAUAACCUGCUAUCACAUGAAGUAAAAUAUAUCUGUUUAUCAUUAGUUGUGGUUAUCAUAUUACAACUGUGUUUCAAAUUUAGCUCAUGGUGCCUCUGUCCUCUGUCCACAAAGGUCAGGUCAUUGUUAGGACUACUCUAUGAUGGGAUCUAGAAGGUACUGAGUCUAGGAAAUACAGUACCUCAGACUUUAUAGUCCUCUCUAGCCUGAUUCCAGUUUGGAUGGUUUGCCCAUCUUAUUGGCUCAAGUCUAUUCAAGUCUAUUCUAAAGGGGCCCUUUGGUGCUUGCUUUUAACCUAUGAGUUCUGGGUCUGCACCUUUGAUCACUUAAAUUCCUGUGACUUUUCUGUUGGGAAUACAGUCCUGAAAUCUUGUCUUGCGGAGGUGUUAUUUAUUUAUUUUUCUCAGUGAGAGAAAUAGAAUUCAGGAAGUCUAGUGAGAUUUACAACAGAAUGAAACAAGUAAGACAGAUCCAGUAAGGAGUAUAGGAUUGAGCAGAAAAAUUUUGACCUGGGCUGACAGGAUUAGUGAGAGUUCUUGUAAAGGAAAGUGAGAAAAAGGUAGGAGAAACAUUGGGGUAGCUCUAACGGGGAGAUAUAUUGUGGAUGAGAAAGAAUUCCGUAGGUUUUUUGAGCAUUUGUAGGUUAUAUAUACAGAAAGGAACCUAUAGUAAAGAAUCAGCUUACUUUUAAUAACUUUUGCUUGCUCGUCUGUUAGUUCUUUGUAUGUGAUUCCAUGUAUGAACUUGCACCAUGAAAGGGCUCAGCUUUACACACACAUAAAAAUAAACAUACACACACAUAAUUAUACAUCAUAUCUGUUAGCAAGAACUAGGACCAUUGUAGAGCUUAGGAAAUAUUUGUUGAGUAAAUGAAUCAAUCUACCCAGAGAAUGGAGUUCACACUCUGGCAAUGGAAGUUGAAACAAUGCAAUGAAACUAAAAUUUCUGUAUGGUGAUUAGUUUUCUCAGGCUGCUUUUCCAAGAAAUAAAAGGUAGCAAUUGAAAAAUAUAUUUUAUGUAUGCAUUUUCUUAUCUUAUUUUUGUAAUAAAUGCUCAUUAGAACUAGUCCUUUCUUGUUCUCAACCCUGUGAGAUGGCCAUUGUGAGGAAUAUGGUAUGUAAUUUUCUGUAGCUUUUUUUGUGUGCAUUCAUGUAACAUACACAACACAUUUACUCAUAAAUAUUCAUGAACCUGAAAAUUUGCUCAUAUCAUUUAAUAAAUUAUGGUAAUCUUUCCAGGUCAAUAGUAAUAGAUACAAUUCUUUCUUUUUCUAAGGGAAUACUUUUCAAUAACAUCUGUCCAUAUCACAUGGUAUCAAUGGUCAAAUAAAUGAAUUCACUAUAUAUUUUUUGAACAAUUUUAUUAAAUUUUACUAAAUUUUUACACUGGAUACUCAAACAUUUACUGAACACUUAUCUGGUACAAGUUUCAGUGACCAAGAAAAUCAGUAAAAUACUCAUGGUUCUUCCCCUCAAGGAAAUUCACUGUCUCAUAUAGGAGCUUUUUUUUUUUUAACUUGAGAACCUGCUCAUAGAAUUUAUAGUAAAGUAUGCUUUUAAAAUAAAUUUUUAGGAGUAAUAUAUCACUGUCAAUUCAUUCUGAGUCAUUGUUUUCAGUGUAUGAACAGUACUUAGCAGCACAAGAGUACUUCCCUAUAUGGCAACUCAAAAAACAAACUAAUUUCCAACCACUAAGACCUCAGAUAAGGCACCUUACUCCUGAGACCUCAAAGUGAUUUAUAAUUCUACUAAUACUUUUACUGUAAUAGUAAUACAUGAUAUUUAUGAACUAACUUUAUUCCAUGGAGCUCUAAAUACUUCAUAUAUAUCAUUUGACUUCUUUGAAUAAUGUCUGUAAGAUAGAGAAAAGUGUCCCCUGCAGAUAAGGAAAAUGAUGUAGACACAAAACUUUGACAGUGUCUGAAUCAAGUCUUCAGACAGUCAGCCCCAUGCUCUUUCCUCUCAAUUACACUUGCUGUCUCCCUAGUGGUAACUGCAGUGAUUAAGUGGAUAGUAUUAUGUCAUCAAUCCGAGAAUCUCAUAUAGCACAAUAGGUUCAGUUCUUAUUAAAAAACAAGAGCUUUUCAUGCAAACUAUUUCUCUAUCUGCUAAAAGAACUUGUACAGGAAAUGUUCCUGACAAAUUUUCUAGGUAAGAUACAACUAAGUUUGGCCAGUCUAGUCGACCCCUCGCACUCCCAAUGCUACAGUGGAUAUGACAGAUGUAGCAUUAAAUGUGUAACUCAGGUGCACAACUGGUCCUGCCAGCCCUAAUCCUGAGAAGAGAACAGAACUCUGAUAACAACAAUAAUGGCAACAUAUAUUGAUCAUUUAAUAAAGUCUUAGAAUAUUCAAAUAAGGUAAUCAAAGAACAGUUCAGUAGUUGUAGCAAAGAUUAAGCAAAUUUCAUAUGGUCAAUUUAGUGCAACUGCAAACUAGUAAACAACAGUCAAAACCCUAAAUCUCCUAAUGUUCAGUACUAUCACAGGAGUGAAAUUAUUUUCCUACAUCUUUGAAGACAUUUUAUCAUAGGAGGUUUAUAACUGAGAAUAUGAUACUAACCAGAAGUUUGAUCAUUCUGUAUUUAAUUUCUCAUGGACUACCAGUUCAGUGUGGCCUACUCCCUUUUCCAGUUGACUUAAAGAAUGGGGCUUUCAAAUUCUUACUGGGAUAUGUGAAGGGCACUUGCAUUUGUAACCAAUGUGCUGCAACCUGAAGGUAACACUUUAUUGUUCUUGGGAAACAUAGGCCUAAUUCCCUGGAGAUUGACUAUUUCAAAGAGUCGCAAGUCUCCUGAUUGUUUCUUAUCAGUCUUAAAGAAAUUAGAUAAGCUUCUUCCCUCUUACAAAAGCUUUUUCCUCACUCAAAAUUCCUUUGAGAACAAAACAUUGAAUGAGAAAUGGAUUUUUAACAAAAUAUUGUAAGACUGUUGAAGACAUUUUGUUUUAUUUUGCUUUUUCCUGAGGAGACCCAGUAGUUCAAAGGAUAUAUUAAUGAGCUUUCUGAUCUAGGGCUACUGGCAAAAUGUGGCAAAAAGCAAGUCUGAGCCAAAGAACAAAGUCCCUUCUGUGAAGCAGGAAGGGUUGCUUUUCACUGGAUUAUUUUAGAAGAUUUAACUAGACUCUGUCACACAGAAAGACUGAGAGGUCAAACUCAAGAAGUGGAAGGGAAAAGACAACAAUUCUAGGACUGUAACAGAUCCUGAAAAACUUUUCUCUGAUGGAAAUGACCCCUGGCAGCAGUGACAUUCUGACACCAUGUGUGAUGCACACUCUUGGGAUGACUGAAUUCCAUGUCACAACGGCUCUGCUCAGAGUACUGGUUUCCUCAUGCCUCUAAGCCCAAUUCAACCACUGAAAGUUUCUAAUGGUCUCCUGUCCACUUUGUAAAUCACCAUAAAGAAUAUUAAGUCAACCAGAAAAAUCUGCCUCUAUGUGAUUCACUGCACAACCAGAGGCAUGUUAUCAAGAUAUACAGGAAAACUGAAAAAAAAAAAAAAUUUUUUUUAUAACAAAUGUUUUCAGAAUAUCCCUUUAUAUAUGAAUUUUGGACUACUUGGUAGAGAGGAAUACAGUUCCACGGAUCUCAGACAAAGAGCCUAAGGUAUUUUUUCCUCAGAAAGCACUGCUCAGACCCUGAGAGUAGAGGACAGAUCACAGCCCCAGAGCCUGAGUUGGGGGCUACUCUUAGGCUAGAUGUCUGAGGAUGAUGUGCACUGGUGUGACCAGUAUGGUUUGGGUGACCUGCACGCCCUACACUGGGCCUCAAUUUUACUUAUUUCAAAAUGAGAUGAUUGAACUUUUAUUUCUUACAUCUUUUUUUACCCAUAAUGUUUGAUGAAGCUCUGUUCUUAAAUCCCUUUCACUUCAAAUUUUUAAUCUUAAAAAAAAAUCAUAAAAUGUGUUUAUACAGUUCUUUGAGCUCUUAAAUGUUAUUCAACAUGGUAACAGUAUAAUUCACUAAGCCUAAAUUUUAUCAUUUUAGAUUUGCCUCAGAGGCCAAGUUUUAUGAGAGCCUUAAUUUUCAUCACCAGAAGAUGAUUUAAUAAAAAUGAAGGGACACCAUUUGGAAAUAAACUGAAAUUGGCAUGGGAGGGCAGAGAACCUUAUACAAAAAAUCAGGUUCCUAAACUUAGAAGGGGUCAAAUGGUUCUGAGUUCCAAAGAAUUUUUUGCUUUUAUUAGUGCUGAGAAAAUGGAUCUGACUUUUUGUACACUGAAAGUAGAAGCUUCUAAUGGCAACUUUCCCAUAUCCCUGGUCUCUUGAUAUAAUAACUAUAGUACCAUUUGCCCCAUUUCCUUGAAGCAGAUUCUACUGCACGGCAGUUGGACAAAAAGGUGCAGAGCCUCAUCUAUGCUGGAGUCAGAUGGGUUUAUCUUUAGAGACAAUUUCAGUAUGUGGGAUGUAAGGCACAUCACUUAAAUGGAAAGCUACUGAAGACCAUCUCACUGACAAAAAGGGUAUGGUAUGAAUGGACGCUUCUUAUCUUGGUCAGGAGAACGAAGUUCAAUGUCAGUGAAGCGAAACACUAGGAAGCUGAUGCCUAUUAUGAUGUGAUGAACAAUAGACUUGUCUUUGACAAAUUCCUUUAUAAUUGUCUUCCUGACUGUCAAAACUUUAUUCAAUUCCUUUUCCCAAUAAAUAUUCUCUGACAGAAUGAGUCCUAAAGUUCUGACUUUUAACAUAUUUUUUAAUUGUAGUAACAACAACAGCUACUUCUUGAUACUACUACUAUUCCAAACAUGGGAUAAUAAAAAUCAGGAAGAAACAGACCCUGUUUUUUAGAGACCUUACCAUCUCUGGGUUUGAACUGUUGUAACAAAAAUAACAAUAAUCAUCAUUUAUUCACUCAUACCAGCAAGGCACUGUGCUCAGUGGGCAACAUGAAGGAGCUGCCAGGGUUCCCUCUGGUUCCCCAGAUACCCUGACAGUGAGAGAAUCCUGCUGUGUCUCUGCAUCAUCUCUCUCUC